ACUAUUGCCAGAACACUCAAGAUAGUGUGUGAGGUCUUAUCAUGUGACCAUGAUGGUGGGCCGCCCCGGAUACCUUUCAGUACAUUCCAGUUUCUCUACACAUAUAUUGCCGAAGUGGAUGGUGAGAUCUCUACAUCACACGUCAGCAGGAUGCUAAGCUACAUUGAACAGGAAAUAAUUGGUCCUGAUGGUAUCAUCACAGUGAAUGACUUUACCCAAAAUCCUAGGGUUCGGCUGGAGUAAGAGCACAAUUUUGGCAAUUUUUAAAGGAAGAUACAGAGAUGAUUGUACUUCAGAAUGACUGAAACACAUAUACCCUCCAAAAUCAAUUUUCUUGUACAACUAGUACACACGAAUAAACAAUUAAACAAACAUAGGAAAUCAGAAA